ensembl:snoRNA
GUUCAAAGAUGGAAACAGCCAAGCCUGAACAUCAGAAGACCCUGAGUCUACCUGACCCAUGAUCCCCAGUUCUGAGG